rnacentral:rRNA from 1 species
AUACGGAGGGUGCAAGCGUUAAUCGGAAUUACUGGGCGUAAAGAGCACGUAGGCGGUCGAAAAAGUCUGGUGUGAAAUCUCCCGGCUUAACUGGGAGGGGUCGGCGGAUACUAGGCGUCUUGAGUGGGGUAGGGGGUACCGGAAUUCCUGGUGUAGCGGUGAAAUGCGUAGAUAUCAGGAGGAACGCCAGCGGCGAAAGCGGGUACCUGGGCCUUUACUGACGCUGAGACGCGAAAGCUAGGGGAGCAAACAGGAUUAGAAACCCUAGUAGUCC